GACGAACGCUGGCGGUGUGCUUAACACAUGCAAGUCGAACGGUAAGGCCCUUUCGGGGGUACACGAGUGGCGAACGGGUGAGUAACACGUGAGUAACCUGCCCUCAUCUCUGGGAUAACAGUCGGAAACGGUUGCUAAUACUGGAUAUGAGCUUGCAAGGCAUCUUGUGGGUUGGAAAGAUUUUUUUUGGUUGGGGAUGGACUCGCGGCCUAUCAGCUUGUUGGUGAGGUAGUGGCUCACCAAGGCUUCGACGGGUAGCCGGCCUGAGAGGGCGACCGGCCACAUUGGGACUGAGAUACGGCCCAAACUCCUACGGGAGGCAGCAGUGGGGAAUAUUGCACAAUGGACGGAAGUCUGAUGCAGCAACGCCGCGUGCGGGAUGACGGCCUUCGGGUUGUAAACCGCUUUCAAUUGUGACGAAGCUUUUUUGCGACGGUAGCAGUAGAAGAAGCACCGGCUAACUACGUG
rnacentral:rRNA from 1 species